GGGCGCCCUGAAGACCUGCUCUCUAGGCCACGCACGGGGGACGCCGUUCCUCAAGGGCCGCGCGCCCGCCUAGGGGAAAGUCCCCGGACGGCGGGCAGAGAGUGCCGGGCGCCGCCGGCGCCAGCCCCCGCCUCGCGGCCCGCGCGGAGCCGCCGAGACGCCCCCGGGCAGAGCGGGCGGGCGCGGGGCGGGCCCUCGUCACGGCCACAGGCACGCAGGUAGUGCGCAGGCAACGCGCAUGCGCACCAACAGCACGGGGCUCACUCUCAGGGCGUC
ensembl:ribozyme RNase_MRP RNase MRP